GAUGAACUCUGGCGGCGUGCCUAAUACAUGCAAGUCGAGCGAACAGAUGAGGAGCUUGCUCCUCUGACGUUAGCGGCGGACGGGUGAGUAACACGUGGAUAACCUACCUAUAAGACUGGGAUAACUUCGGGAAACUGGAGCUAAUACCGGAUAAUAUAUUGAACCGCAUGGUUCAAUAGUGAAAGACGGUUUUGCUGUCACUUAUAGAUGGAUCCGCGCCGCAUUAGCUAGUUGGUAAGGUAACGGCUUACCAAGGCAACGAUGCGUAGCCGACCUGAGAGGGUGAUCGGCCACACUGGAACUGAGACACGGUCCAGACUCCUACGGGAGGCAGCAGUAGGGAAUCUUCCGCAAUGGGCGAAAGCCUGACGGAGCAACGCCGCGUGAGUGAUGAAGGUCUUCGGAUCGUAAAACUCUGUUAUUAGGGAAGAACAAAUGUGUAAGUAACGAUGCACGUCUUGACGGUACCUAAGCAGAAAGCCACGGCUAACUACGU
rnacentral:rRNA from 1 species